AUUGAACGCUGGCGGCAUGCCUUACACAUGCAAGUCGAACGGCAGCAUGAUCUAGCUUGCUAGAUUGAUGGCGAGUGGCGAACGGGUGAGUAAUACAUCGGAACGUGCCCUGUUGUGGGGGAUAACUAGUCGAACGAUUAGCUAAUACCGCAUACGACCUGAGGGUGAAAGUGGGGGACCGCAAGGCCUCAUGCUAUAGGAGCGGCCGAUGUCUGAUUAGCUAGUUGGUGAGGUAAAGGCUCACCAAGGCGACGAUCAGUAGCUGGUCUGAGAGGACGAUCAGCCACACUGGGACUGAGACACGGCCCAGACUCCUACGGGAGGCAGCAGUGGGGAAUUUUGGACAAUGGGCGAAAGCCUGAUCCAGCAAUGCCGCGUGUGUGAAGAAGGCCUUCGGGUUGUAAAGCACUUUUGUCCGGAAAGAAAUGGCGCUGGUUAAUACCUGGGGUCGAUGACGGUACCGGAAGAAUAAGGACCGGCUAACUACGUG
rnacentral:rRNA from 1 species